rnacentral:rRNA from 1 species
AGAGUUUGAUCCUGGCUCAGGAUGAACGCUGGCGGCGUGCCUAACACAUGCAAGUCGAGCGGAGGGACUGAGAGCACUUGUGCUUUUGGAAACUUAGCGGCGGACGGGUGAGUAACACGUGAGCAAUCUGCCUUUUGCCGGGGAAUAACACUGGGAAACCAGUGCUAAUACCGCAUAACAUCCAAGUACGGCAUCGUACAUGGAUCAAAGGAGCAAUCCAGCAAAAGAUGAGCUCGCGUCCGAUUAGGUAGUUGGUGAGGUAACGGCUCACCAAGCCCACGAUCGGUAGCCGGACUGAGAGGUUGAACGGCCACAUUGGGACUGAGACACGGCCCAGACUCCUACGGGAGGCAGCAGUGGGGAAUAUUGGGCAAUGGGGGAAACCCUGACCCAGCAACGCCGCGUGAAGGAUGAAGGCUUUCGGGUUGUAAACUUCUUUGAUCAGGGACGAAACAAAUGACGGUACCUGAAGAACAAGCCACGGCUAACUACGUGCCAGCAGCCGCGGUAAUACGUAGGUGGCAAGCGUUGUCCGGAAUAACUGGGCGUAAAGCGCAUGUAGACGGCAUGAUAAGCCAAAUGUGAAAUGUAGGGGCUCAACCCCUACACUGCGAUUGGAACUGUCAAGCUUGAGUGCAGGAGAGGCAAAUGGAAUUCCCAGUGUAGCAGUGAAAUGCGUAGAGAUUGGGAGGAACACCAGUGGCGAAGGCGAUUUGCUGGACUGCAACUGACGUUGAGAUGCGAAAGCCAGGGGAGCAAACGGGAUUAGAUACCCCGGUAGUCCUGGCCGUAAACGAUGGAUACUAGGUGUAGAGGGUAUCGACCCCUUCUGUGCCGCAGUGAACGCAAUAAGUAUCCCGCCUGGGGAGUACGGUCGCAAGACUGAAACUCAAAGGAAUUGACGGGGGCCCGCACAAGCAGUGGAGCAUGUGGUUUAAUUCGACGCAACCCGAAGAACCUUACCAGGUCUUGACAUUUGUAGAAUUGGGCAGAGAUGCUUAAGUGCCUUUCGGGGAACUACAAAACAGGUGGUGCAUGGUUGUCGUCAGCUCGUGUCGUGAGAUGUUGGGUUAAGUCCCGCAACGAGCGCAACCCUUGAUAACAGUUGCCAGCAAGUAAGGUUGGGCACUCUGUUGUGACUGCCGUAGAUAAUACGGAGGAAGGUGGGGAUGACGUCAAAUCAUCAUGCCCUAUAUGACCUGGGCUACACACGUGCUACAAUGGGGUGAACAACGGGAAGCAAGCCAGCGACGGUAAGCGGAACCCUAAAAACACCUCUCAGUUCAGAUUGCAGGCUGCAACCCGCCUGCAUGAAGUCGGAAUUGCUAGUAAUCGCGGAUCAGCAAGCCGCGGUGAAUACGUUCCCGGGCCUUGUACACACCGCCCGUCACACCACGAAAGUUGGCAACACCCGAAGUCGGUGAGGUAACCUUAAUCGGAACCAGCCGCCGAAGGUGGGGUCAGUAAUUGGGGUGAAGUCGUAACAAGGUAACC